rnacentral:rRNA from 1 species
AGCAGUCGCCGCGGGAAUACGUAUGUCACAAGCGUUAUCCGGAUUUAUUGGGCGUAAAGCGCGUCUAGGCGGUUAAUUAAGUCUGAUGUGAAAAUGCGGAGCUCAACUCCGUAUUGCGUUGGAAACUGGUUAACUAGAGUACUGGAGAGGUAAGCGGAACUACAAGUGUAGAGGUGAAAUUCGUAGAUAUUUGUAGGAAUGCCGAUGGGGAAGCCAGCUUACCGGACAGAUACUGACGCUAAAGCGCGAAAGCGUGGGUAGCAAACAGGAUUAGAUACCCCCGUAGUCCCUGUCUCUUAUACA